GAUGAACGCUGGCGGCGUGCUUAACACAUGCAAGUCGAACGAUGAAGCUCAGCUUGCUGGGUGGAUUAGUGGCGAACGGGUGAGUAACACGUGAGUAACCUGCCCUUAACUCUGGGAUAAGCCUGGGAAACUAGGUCUAAUACCGGAUAGGAGCGCCUACCGCAUGGUGGGUGUUGGAAAGAUUUAUCGGUUUUGGAUGGACUCGCGGCCUAUCAGCUUGUUGGUGAGGUAAUGGCUCACCAAGGCGACGACGGGUAGCCGGCCUGAGAGGGUGGCCGGCCACACUGGGACUGAGACACGGCCCAGACUCCUACGGGAGGCAGAAGUGGGGAAUAUUGCACAAUGGGCGAAAGCCUGAUGCAGCGACGCCGCGUGCGGGAUGACGGCCUUCGGGUUGUAAACCUCCUUCAGUAGGGAAGAAGCGAAAGUGACGGUACCUGCAGAAGAAGCACCGGCUAACUACGUG
rnacentral:rRNA from 1 species